AUUGGGCUGAAUGCUUAUCAUUAGUUUUUGUUUUCAUUUUCAUGCACAAAUGGAUAGUUUUGAGUUUUUAACAUAGUUGGGUUUUCAAAAAAAAAACUAAUGAUAAGCAUUCAGCNNNNNNNNNNNUGAUCAUCUUAUCCAUAAUAAGAAGGAAAUGGUAAUGAAUUUUGGCAAGAAGGGGUUACGUAAUGCCUUUGUAAAAUAGAAAAGAUUGUGGCGCUCAAUACUAUCCAUUUGUGCAUGAAAAUGAAAAC
rnacentral:misc_RNA from 1 species